rnacentral:rRNA from 1 species
GAUUAACGCUGGCGGCGUGCCUAACACAUGCAAGUCGAGCGGCAGCGAGUUUUACACUGAAUUCUGGAAGCUUCUAGUUGAAAGAGAAGAUUUAUUCAAGAAUUUUGUGUAAAAUGUCGGCGAGCGGCGGACGGCUGAGUAACGCGUGGGAACGUACCCCAAAGUGAGGGAUAACGCAUCGAAAGGUGUGCUAUUACCGCAUAUGGUCUUCGGAUUAAAGCCUUCGGGGGCUUUGGGAACGGCCUGCGUAAGAUUAGAUAGUUGGUGGGGUAAUGGCCUACCAAGUCGACGAUCUUUAACUGGUUUGAGAGGAUGAUCAGUCAGACUGGAACUGAGACACGGUCCAGACUCCUACGGGAAGCAGCAGUGAGGAAUCUUCCACAAUGGGCGAAAGCCUGAUGGAGCAACGCCGCGUGCAGGAUGAAGGCCUUCGGGUUGUAAACUGCUUUUAUAAGUGAGGAUUAUGACAGUAACUUAUGAAUAAGGAUCGGCUAACUACGUG